UUGGCAGCUACGAACCUGAAUUACCGGCAGCGGACGAGGCCCCGGGCUAAGCACUUUAUGUGGACAAUCGCCUCGGAUUCUUCUGAGGGGCGCGUUAUGAUGACGUCUCGAGCCGUACCAGUCUAAGUUUACGGCGCAGAAGUGUAGGCGCUCCCCGUGCGCAGGCGCUCUCGCUUCAUUGUUCAAGGUCCUGCGGCGGCCAGAGUUGGAGAGUGAGUUCCCCGGGACCGUUCUGCGCAGGCGCUACGGAGGGCUGAGUCCCUGCGAUCACGCUUCCUAGACACACCCCCUUCUAAAAAGAGUGACGUCAGGUUAGAGCUCCGGGAACGCGUCUGGUGGUCCCCAAAUCCCGGUGCUCCAUCCUCUUCGGCCUCCGUCUGCCGACUCCAGGGGCGGAGCUUCUCGGAGGCGGACGAGCCACUAGCAACAGUACCCUCCCGUGUACCGGCUCUUUGCUCGCUAUGCCUCCACCGCGGGGUGACGUGACCGCCUUGUUCCUGGGGCCUCCCGGCUCGGGAAAGUCCUCACUGAUUGCAGCUCUGUGCAACAAGGAUGUGGAGGUGGUAGAGAUCCCCGAUGGACGGCCAGACUCCGGGAUCCCCAGCCUGCGAGCUGCGGGCCCAGGCCUCUUCCUGGGCGAGCUGAGCUGCCCACCAGCAGCACCGGGUCCCUGGGCAGCGGAGGCUAACGUGCUAGUCCUGGUGCUGCCCGGCCCCAAAGGGAACGAUGAACCCUUGGCACCAGCGCUAGGGGACGCAGCGCGAGCCGCACUGGCCCGAGGAACCCCGUUGCUGGCUGUGCGGAACCUCCGUCCUGGGGAUUCACAAAAUGAAGCCCAGGCCCGAGAUCAGACUGUGACCCUGCUGGAAAGUGCGGGGUUGGGAGCUGUGCCUCUCUAUGUGCUGCCCGAGGACUGCAGCAGCAAAGAGGGCUGCGAGGAACUGGAGCGCCUGCGGGCGGCGUUGCGGAGCCAGGCGGAGGCGUUGCAGAGGCUCCUGCCACCGGCUCAGGAUGGCUUCGAGGUACUGGGAGCAGCUGAGCUGGAGGCUGUGCGUGAGGCCUUUGAGACCGGUGGCCUGGAGGCAGCGAUGUCCUGGGUUCGUGCUGGCCUGGAGCGACUGGGCAGCGCGCGGCUGGACCUAGCCAUAGCUGGCGCCGCUGACAUGGGACUUGUGCUGGACGUGUUGCUCGGGUUGGAUCCUGGGGACCCAGGUGCUGUGCCUGCUUUGGUGGCGCCUGCGGGCCCCACGCCCUACCCUGCUCCAGAGCGCCCCAAUGUGGUGCUCUGGACCGUGCCUCUGGGCUCUGGGGGCAGCGCUGCCGCCCGCCACCCAACCCACUACGACGCCCUCAUCCUCGUCACCCCUGGGGCCCCCACUGAGGAGGACUGGGCCCAGGUCCGGCCCUUGGUGCUACCGGAUGCCCCGCUGGUCUGCGUGCGAACAGAUGGCGAGGGUGAAGAUCCGGAGUCUCUGGAAGAGGAAAAAGCAGAGAAGUCCCUCGGCAGCGAGAGCUUGGAGAACGCAGGCGGAGAGGGGUUGGAGAAACAUGUCAAUGGAUCUCAAAAAGCAGGCGAUGGGGGAGUUUCAGAGAAAGCAGGCAGGGAGGGUUUGCAGCAGGUUGGCGCAGAUGCGCAGCAGUCUGGCAGGGGGGACACUGGGCGUGUGGCUGCCUGGAGCCCGGAGGACGAGACCUGGGAGGUGCUGGAGGAGGCGCCGCCGCCGGUGUUCCCCCUGCGGCGAGGCGGACUCCCAGGGCUUUGCGCAUGGCUGCGGCGCGCGCUUCCCCCAGCCCAGGCAGGGGCGCUGCUGCUGGCGCUGCCUCCCACGUCCCCGCGUGCAGCCCGAAUCAAGGCUGCCGCGCUCCGGGCUGGGGCUUGGCGCCCGGCUCUGCUAGCUAGCCUGGCGGCAGCGGCCGCACCAGUACCUGGGCUUGGCUGGGCCUGUGAUGUGGCACUUCUACGCGGUCAGCUGGCAGAGUGGCGGCGGGCACUGGGACUCGAACCCGCAGCGCUGGCCCGACGCGAGCGUGCUCUGGGCCUGGCCCCUGGGGAACUCGCGGAGCGGACGCGCUUCCCUGGCCCAGUGACACGCGCAGAAGUGGAGGCGAGGCUAGGUGCGUGGGCCGGGGAGGGCACCGCAGGGGGCGCAGCUCUGGGUGCGCUCUCCUUCCUGUGGCCUGCGGGUGGUGCAGCGGCCACCGGUGGCCUUGGCUACCGCGCGGCGCACGGCGUCCUGCUGCAGGCGCUGGACGAGAUGCUGGCAGAUGCAGAGGCGGUGCUGGCACCCCAUGCGCCUGCGCAGUGAGGGGUGGGGUGAGGGCCAGGGCUUCCAGGGUGCUCUGCAUGCUGGCUGCUUGGCUGCGCCAGGGGUUGAGGACUUCACGUCCUGUUUAGAGGAACGGGGUUGAGGGGUCCAGACUCUGGCAUAGGAUGUGUGGGUCUUUGAGAUAACAGAGCAGGUGUGUUGCCACUCUAAAUCCUGGGUGCCUAAGGGGGAUGAGACUUCUAGUCGUCUAGGUUCCUGGGUUUUGAAGGGGUAUAGAACCUCGGGGUCAGGACUCCUGAUUUCUGUGGGAUCACAGGGCAGCACCCCCAGACUUGUGUCUUGAAGGGAGUUGAGGGGUUGGACUUUUAGAAGGGGAUAUAUUUUAGUUGCCAGGGGAGUAGAAAGUGUGUAUAAUGGACAUCUGGUCGUCCGGGGAUGGGGGGGGGGGCAGGGUUCAAAGCCCUGAUUCCUGAUGGUGAACGUCUUCCUUGUGCUGGGUGCUCCAGGGAGAUGGAACUCUUGGACUUAUGAGCCACAAAAGGUUAGGGAUAGGAUAGGGGUCUAGGUUUUCUAGGGGGAAAAGAUCUGCACACAGCCUCUCAGUUCCUCAGGAGGUGGUGGGCUUUGAAUGUUCACGUGGGUAGGGGGAGACAGGGCACUCUCUGGGGUCUCAGGCUCCUGGCUCCCAAGAGGGCUGUGGGCCUUGGUUCCUAAUUCCUGGGUGGUGGGCAGUCUGCUUCUAGAGGAGGGAACGGGUGGCUGCAACAGAGCUAGAAAUCUUUUUGGUGUCUUGGGGAGUAUAAAGAUGUUUAAUAUUUGCUCCUAGUGGGGGGAACCUGGUGACAAAGACCCAUUUCCCUGCUGUAGUGGGGAGGAUGGCCACACAGAAAUGAGGGGAGGAGGCAAGGGGGGCAUGGCGGGCCCCGGGGGCAGCCAGACACCAGGAGUGAGACCGUCUGGGUAUGGAAGGGCAGGAACCCAUAGCUCAGAGGUAUCUCCUGCAAAUCCCUAAUGGAUUUCGGUCCUGGAAACUGCCCUUCUCUCUGUGACUGAUUGCUCCCAUGUCAUAGGUGCUGAGGAGCUCUCUGGGGAGUCUAUUCCCUCUACUGCGCCCCUUUAGCGGUUUCUACUUUUGGACUUGGUUUCUUCUGUCAUUAAACCUGAACCCUUUCCAGCCCUGAUACUUUUGUAUACCUGCCUUUCUGGAGAAGCAGCUGUACGGCUGCACUAAUCCCAGUGUUUCUGUGUUGGCUCCCAUGGGCGUGCUCAGAAAGCACUGCCUUGUGGUGUACACAGAGGCUGCAGUGAGCAAGGGACCCAACGGACAGUGGGGCGGGUGUUCCUGCCUGUGGGAACGUGCCACGUGCCACAAGGGAAAGGCAGAAACCACAGUGCCUGGGAAGUUCUAGGCUGCUGCCUGCGUGCAGAGGCACAGGCAUAGGACACAGAAUUCUUUGGUGUCAAAAACAGAAAGGGGGCGGGGGGCUGAGAGGCCAUCCAGCAGAAUCCCUUUUAUGAUGGUUGAGGAGAACAGAGUCCAGAGAGGGCAGGCUCUAGGCCCAACAGCACACAGCAAGGCCCUAUAUGGUCUGGCCCCUGCCUGUUCUCAUCCUCUGCUCCAUCCCAUACCCCAACCAGCUUGCUGGGUCUUCCUUCCGAUGCUUGAGUGGGCCACCUUGGGUCCUGCCUCAGGACCUUUGCACUUCCUGUUCAUGCUGCCUAGAAUGCUCUCUGCCCACCACCAUUUCCAUGAGUGGCUCAUUCUGUCGGGUCUCAAUUCAGAUGUUCCCUCAGAGAGGCCUUCCCUGAGCACUCUAACUUUGGUAGCUCAUACCUCCUGCCGUGCCCGCCCCCCGCCCCACCAUUCAUCCCAGCAGAUUAAUUUUCCUUGUAGCAAUUAUGACUAUAGAGAAUUAUUUAUUUAUUUACCUAUUUAUCGGCUAUUAUCCCCUUGUCUCUCUUGGUCUCUACUAUAACCCCAGCACCUAGAAUGGUAAUUGACACACAGUAGGUGCUCUGUAAAUAUUUUAUUUCAUUGCCAGUGGCAGAACUAGGGCUGACAUGUAGAUUGUCAGCCUCUUGCCACACAACAGGGAAAAAAAUUGAGACGAGGGGAGAAACAAGCAUCUAAUGGCAGACAUAGUGCCUGUCGGAGAGGUGAUGGGCCUGGAAAGCAAGCACAGCUUUGCCAUCGUCACCCUGGGUGACUUGGACCAGUGCCUUAUUUUCUCUUCUGUGAGAUUUCCUGUGACAGCUGCAGGCAAGGGUGACUGAACUGAGGCACAGACACAGGGGGCAGGGGGCUGGCUACCCAUCCCCACCUUGAACUAUCUAAGCAGAGAUGGCCAACAUGGGAGAAAGCAUUUGGCUCCACUGAAUGGUUCCAGGAAUUGCGAAAGCUUUCAGCCUCAGGGGAAUGAAAUUCGAUCAGUACAGCACUAGGGUCAGACAGUCCUGCUGACUUUGGGGUGACCUUGGGCUAGUCACCCGGCAAAUGGUAUCUACCUCACAGGGUUACUGUGAGAAUUCAGUGUAUGUACCCAGGUACACACUGCAGCCCCUCCUGAGAAGCCUGGCGUACUGGGAGCUUGAGAGGUAGCGUGCGUGCCCUUGCCCACACGCCCUCAGCCCCAGGCAGCACCAAGACAGCUCCAGUCUGGGCGUCUUUGCUCACAGAAUGCCCUCCUCUUUGCCGUGUUGACACCUCCUCUGAUUUGGUCCUGUCUGACCUCACUCCCCUGCUCCCCAUUCCCUCUGCCCUUAUGCCAGUGGGGUUCAUGCCAGAGAUGGGACCUGGGAAAGCAAGCCCCGCCCCGGUUUUGUUUGCAUGCGUCUCUGCUGUUGGGAGUGCUGAUUGUCUUACUGUAUAUAACUGUGCAUUGGCACUUGUGUGUGUCACAGCUACCUUUUCGAGUGGUUGUCUUUUAAGUCAUGACUUUUGAUGGCAUUGACUUUUAGACUUUGUGGAGCCAUAAGGUUGCUAGUGAGGCACUUGUCUGUGGGAGCAUCCAAGUAGAAAACACUGAGUCUCCCUUUUGGACAGAUCAUUGGCUGCCAUUAGGGUGUGUCUGCAUGCACCUCCAGGCUGGAAGACCCUCAAAGGCAAGAAUCCAAGGAAGUGUAUGAUGAAUCUUGGCAUCGCCAUUGGUCAGAAACAGAACAGGCACAAAGAACUGGAGCGAUGAGACAUCUCAUCAUCCGAGCCGAGUUUCCUGCAUUUCUGCAUAAUGAUAGAGGGACUUGUGUCCACUGAGGUGGAGAACCAUAAAAGGACGAAUCAAGGGUGUGGCUGGCCUGCGUUGCUGUUUGGAGGAGUGAAUAAAAGAAUGGGAAUACUGGAGCCCAUCACAUGGAUCCGUGAAGACAAAAUGAGGAAGUGCCCCUAAGAGGCCACGGUGGCCAUGCAUGCUGCUCAUGAAACUUGUCGCUGCCUCAGGGCAGAGUGGCACUUCCUGGUCCACAUGCUGUUUGGUGGGGCCACGUGGCCAGCUCCAUUCAAUGAGUUGUGUUAAGUCACUUCUGAGCCACAGCAUGUAGUCACCCAGGUGAGACUGUCCUGUGCACAGAAACGGGCAGUGUUCGGUCAGCGGCGGCUCAUGCUGGUGAUGAACAGAACACCUGUGGACAGUGCCAGACGUGUGGGACCGGGGUGAAAGAAGAAUCAGCCUGUGGUGACUUGUUUAGUGAAUACCAUUCCUCUUCCUCCCACUGGAGGGGGAGGAAACUUCCCUGCUCCCAAAUGCUGGCUUUGACCGGGUGAUUUGCUUUACUCAGUGGAACAUUAGCAGCCCUGACCUCCGCGAGGGCCUUCAGUGCACUUGGCUCUUGGGCUCCUGUGAUCUGCCACGGAGCCACUGAUCCCAGGAGACUGUGCAGCCCUCAAAACUUGAGUCCUCCUUCCAACACGAGAGCCAAAUCGAGCCAAUCCAUGACCAGAAGCAGAGCCACCCUGGCCACCCACAAAUGCUUAAGAAGAAUGCUUGUUGUUAUAAGUCUGUUUUGAAAUGCUUUGUUACACAGUAUUAUUGCUGUGAGUUGACUAAUACAACUUUGUUGUUGUAAACCACUGAGAUCAGGGACUUCUUUGUUACUGUAGCAUAAUCUAGUCUGUCCCGAUCCAGAACAAUGUUUAGCACCUGCCAACUAAUGGCCGUUUCACUAAGUGGCACCUAUUACAGUGAUGACUAUUUACUCAGACUGUUGUCUCUACAAUCACCACUAUCUUAAAGGUGGUAGGCACUGCAUAAGCACUUUUUUAGUUUUCUUUCAUUUGACUCUUACAACAACUCUAUGAGUUUGUUACUAUUGCUGACAGGAAAACUGAGGCAAAAAAAGGGGAGGUGACUCAGGAGCAGCAAUCACAGCCUCUGGCCUCUGACCCCCCCCCCCCAGCGGUUUGCCCCAAGGCAAAUGACAUCACCGUGUGUACUUCAGUUCGUCCACCUGUGAAAUGGGGAUACUAAUAGCAACUUCGGAGCUGCUGUAAUUAUGAAAAAUGAAGUACAGCACAGAAAACAUUUAGACAGGGGCCCAGCAGGGAGUAAUCCCUUAAUGAGCUCUGACUGGUGUGGUUCAGUUGGUUGGGCGUUGUCCCAAACUCAAAAGGUCCCCAGUUUGAUUCAUUCAGGUCAGGGCACAUGC